rnacentral:rRNA from 1 species
CCUACGGUGUGCAGCAGUGGGGAAUAUUGGACAAUGGGCGAAAGCCUGAUCCAGCCAUGCCGCGUGUGUGAAGAAGGCCUUCGGGUUGUAAAGCACUUUCAGUGGGGAAGAAAGCCUUGGGGCUAAUACCCUCGAGGAAGGACAUCACCCACAGAAGAAGCACCGGCUAACUCCGUGCCAGCAGCCGCGGUAAUACGGAGGGUGCGGGCGUUAAUCGGAAUUACUGGGCGUAAAGCGCGCGUAGGCGGUCUGAUAAGCCGGUUGUGAAAGCCCCGGGCUCAACCUGGGAACGGCAUCCGGAACUGUCAGGCUAGAGUGCAGGAGAGGAAGGUAGAAUUCCCGGUGUAGCGGUGAAAUGCGUAGAGAUCGGGAGGAAUACCAGUGGCGAAGGCGGCCUUCUGGACUGACACUGACGCUGAGGUGCGAAAGCGUGGGUAGCAAACAGGAUUAGAUACCCGUGUAGUC